rnacentral:lncRNA from 1 species
UAAUUUUUUGUGUAUUUUUAGUAGAGACGGGGUUUCACCGUGUUAGCCAGGAUGGUCUCGAUCUCUUGACCUUGCGAUCCGCCUGCCUCAGCCUCCCAAAGUGCUAGGAUUACAGGUGUGAGCCACCGCGCCUUGCCACAGUGCUAGCUUUUUAAGAAUAGCUUUAUUGAAGUAUAAUCAACAUACAAUAAACUGCACAAAUUUGAAGUAUAAAAUUUCAUACUUUUUUUUUGAGACGGAGUCUCGCACUCUCGCCUGGGCUAGAGUGCAGUGGUGCAAUCUCGGAUCACUGCAACCUCCGCCUCCCGGGUUCAAGCAAUUCUCUUGCCUCAGCCUCCUGAGUAGCUGGGAUUACAUGCACCCCCCCCACCACACCCAGCUAAUGUUUUGUAUUUUUAGUAGAGACGGGAUUUCACCAUGUUGGCCAGGCUGGUCUCGAACUCCUGACCUCGUGAUUCGCCCACCUCAAUAUAUGUCUGUGCCUGUGAAAUAAUGCCACAGUUAACGUAAUGAACAUUUCCACCAUUCCAAAAGUUUCCUCGUGCCUGUUUAUAAUCCCUCCUUCCACACACUUCAUGCCCUUUUCCAAUUCUGUCAACCAGUAAUCUUCUUUCUGUCUUUAUAGAUGAGUUUGCAUCUUCUAGAGUUUUAUAUAAGUGAAAUUAUGCAGCAUAUACUCUUGUUUUGUAUGUAUUCUUCCACUCAGCACAUUUAUUUUGUGAUAUCCAUGUUUUUGCAAGUAUCAACAGUUCAUUCCUUUUUAUUGCUAAGGAACAUUUCAUUGUAUGGAUAUACCACAAUUUGUAUAUUGAUUUACCUUUUGAUGGACAUGUGGGUUGUUUCUAUUUUUGGCUAUUAUAAAUAAAGAUGCUGUGAACAUUCAUGAACAAGUCUUUGUAUGGACAUAUGUUUUUUUUUCUCUUGGAAGAAUACCUACGAAUGGAAUGGCUGGGUUAUAUGGUUUCAAAGUAAGCCUAGCACAGAGAAGGAACUCAUCUCAGAUUUUGAGUGUACUUUUUCUACUUAUUAAAACAGCCUCAGGCAGGUCCUGCAGGAGGUAUUCCAGAAGAGGGCGUUGUUAUUAUAGGAGAUGACCCCCCCAUGUUACUGCUGCUGUGCACCUCACUGUCAGACAGGAUGUGAAGGUGGAAGACAGUGAUAUUGAUGAUCCUGACCCUGUGUAGGCCUAGAGUAAUGUGUGUGUUUGUGUCUUAAUUUUUAGCAAAAUUUAAAAAGAAAAAUAAUUUAAAAUUAGAAGAAAGCUUAUAAAGAUAUAAAGAAAAAAGUGUUUUCGUACAGCAAGUGCAAAUGUUUAUAAACUUUAUAAUAGUGUGUAUAAUGUCCUAGGCCUUCGCAUUUACUCACCACUCACUGACUCAGUCAGAGCAACUUCCAGUCCUGCAAGCUCCAUUUAUGGUAAGUACCCUAUACAGGUGUACCAUUGUUUAUCUUUUAUACUAUAUUUUAACCGUACUUUUUCUAUGUUUAGAUAUGUUUAAAUACACAAAUAUUUAUCAUUGUGUUACAGUUGCCUACAGUAUUCAAUACGAUAAAUGCUGUACAGGUUUGUAGCCUAGGAGCAAUAGGCAAUAUCAUAUAGCCUAGGUGUGUGGUAGGCUAUGCCAUCUAGGUUUGUGUAAGAACACUCUUGUACAACAACAACAUUGCUUGAUGCAUUUCUCAGAAUAUAUCCUUGUUAUUAAGCAAUGCAUAACUGUAUUUGGUAAAAUACAGAGAUAUUCCACAUAUUUUAUUAUGCUAUUAAGCAUCGUUUAAAAUAAUUUAUGUCAGUUAUAACUUGUUUAUUCUUUCACAUGAACAUUGAAAUCAUUGAGUUUACUUCUUAAGCAUUUCAUUGGUAUCUUCAUUUAAAUUGCCUUAUGUUUAUGUUAUAAAACAUACUAAUAAACAGGUUUUCUUUUUUGGGCCUCAGUGAAGUUUGGUAGUUUUCAUUAUAUAAGAUGUUUUGCAUUUCUUGUUAGGAUGUUUCUUAUGUAUUGCAUGUUUCUGAUUAUUGUUAAAGAUGGAACUUUUUUCCUGUUAAAUUUCUUAAGUGAUUACUGUUGAGAUCUAUGUAUAUCUAUUUUCUGUAUCGAUGUCAAUAUCUAUAUCUAUAUUGCUGAUUUUUGUAUCUUCUUAAACUAAUUAUCUUACUGACUUCUACUAGUACAUUUUCAUUUUGUUUACUCUGGUUUUUCCGUAUAGAGAAGAAUCACUUGAAAAUAGAGACACAUUUAUCCCCAUUUAACAAUAAUUUAUUGUAUAUUUUAAAAUAACUGAACAAAUGGAAUUGGAAUGUUUCUAACACAAAAAAAUGAUAAAUACUUGAGGUGAUAGAGAUCCCAAUUAUCCUGAUUUGAUCAUUAGACAUUGUAUGCUUGUAUCAGUAUAUCACAUGUACUACAUAAAUGUGUGUAACUAUUAUGUAUCUGUAAUAAUUAAUAAAAAACCAUCAAUUAAAAAAUUAUUGUCCUUCAUUACAUUGGCUAUAACUUACAGAAAAAUGCAAAAGAGUAAUGAGCACACUGCUCUUCUUCCUGAAUUUAAUGAGAGUGCACUCUGUAUUUUAUCAUUAACCAUAAUAUUGGCUAUCAAUAUGCAAUAACUAUUCUCUAUUAGAUUAAGGAAGUUUUCUUCUAUUUUCAGGCAGCUUUUGUAUUUAUUUUAAUAUUGCUUUCAUUUUAAUUAUUUUUAAUCUUUGCAAUUAUUGAAAUAAUUAUUUUUAAUCUUCAGAGGUAUUGAUGUGACUAAUUAAUUGACUGGUGUUUUUA